rnacentral:rRNA from 1 species
AACGCGAAGAACCUUACCUGGGUUUGGCAUCCUCUGAACGCCGUAGAGAUACGGAAGGCCCGAAAGGGACAGAGAGACAGGUGCUGCAUGGCUGUCGUCAGCUCGUGUCGUGAGAUGUUGGGUUAAGUCCCGCAACGAGCGCAACCCUUAUUUUUAGUUGCCAGCAUUAAGUUGGGCACUCUAAAAAGACUGCCAACGUUAAGUUGGAGGAAGGCGGGGAUGACGUCAAGUCCUCAUGGCCUUUAUAUCCAGGGCAACACACGUUCUACAAUGGUCGGUACAAAGCGACGCUAAAUCGCGAGAUGGAGCAAACCGCAAAAAACCGAUCUAAGUUCAGAUUGGAGUCUGCAACUCGACUCCAUGAAGUUGGAAUCGCUAGUAAUCGCGGAUCAGAAUGCCGCGGUGAAUACGUUCCCGGGCCUUGUACACACCGCGUGUCU